AUACGGAGGGUCCGAGCGUUAUCCGGAAUCAUUGGGUUUAAAGGGUCCGUAGGCGGGAAUCUAAGUCAGUGGGAAAUCUUGCAGCUCAACUGUAAAAUUGCCAUUGAUACUGGAUUUCUUGAAUUAGUGUGAAGUGAUUAGAAUGUGUAGUGUAGCGGUGAAAUGCAUAGAUAUUACACAGAAUACCAAUUGCGAAGGCAGAUCACUAACACUAUAUUGACGCUGAGGGACGAAAGCGUGGGGAGCGAACAGGAUUAGAAACCCUAGUAGUCC
rnacentral:rRNA from 1 species